rnacentral:lncRNA from 1 species
GGAACAGUUGACCUUCCGAGAUGUGGCUGUUGACUUCUCUCCGGAUGAGUGGGAAUGCCUGGACCCUCCUCAGCAGAGGCUGUACAGGGACGUGAUGGUAGAGAACUACAGAAACCUGGUCUCUGUGGGAUGUCUUCAUUCAUGCUUUUUUAUUAUUGAGGACUUCGAAACCUGUCCUUGGGAAACAAACCUGUUAUGUGGAGUUAUGUGUCCUUAUUCAAAUUUCAUUAGCUAGCAUGGGCUCUCUGUCCCUGGUGUCACUUUGGGGUACCAAAAAUAGUAUUUGCCUUUGGUCUCAGGUUUACAAAACUGUCAGGUAAAAUAUACCUGGUAUCUCCCACUAUCUGUCAUUGUAGACAGCCAGGUUUCAGACAGGCCCUAAAAAAAAAAGAUUC